AUUGAACGCUGGCGGUAUGCUUAACACAUGCAAGUCGAACGGUAACAGGAGAUAGUUUACUAUUUUGCUGACGAGUGGCGGACGGGUGAGUAAUGCAUGGGAAUUUACCUAUUAGUGGGGGACAACGUGUGGAAACGCACGCUAAUACCGCAUACGCUCUACGGAGGAAAGCAGGGGAUCUUCGGACCUUGCGCUAAUAGAUGAGCCCAUGUCGGAUUAGCUAGUUGGUAAGGUAAAGGCUUACCAAGGCGACGAUCCGUAGCUGGUUUGAGAGGAUGAUCAGCCACACUGGGACUGAGACACGGCCCAGACUCCUACGGGAGGCAGCAGUGGGGAAUAUUGGACAAUGGGGGCAACCCUGAUCCAGCAAUACCGCGUGUGUGAAGAAGGCCUUCGGGUUGUAAAGCACUUUCAGUGGUGAGGAAACGGGAUAGUAUAAUAUGCUAUUCAAUUGACGUUAACCACAGAAGAAGCACCGGCUAACUCCGUGCCAGCAGCCGCGGUAAUACGGAGGGUGCAAGCGUUACUCGGAAUCACUGGGCGUAAAGCGCGCGCAGGCGGCCUGAUAAGUUGGAUGUGAAAGCCUACGGCUCAACCGUAGAACUGCAUCCAAAACUGUCAGGCUAGAGUGUGGGAGAGGAAGAUGGAAUUAGUUGUGUAGGGGUAAAAUCCGUAGAGAUAACUAGGAAUACCAAAAGCGAAGGCAAUCUUCUGGAACACUACUGACGCUGAGGCGCGAAGGCGUGGGGAGCAAACAGGAUUAGAUACCCUGGUAGUCCACGCAGUAAACGAUGAAUGUUAGUCGUCGGGGGCCUAGUGUCUUCGGUGAUGCAGCUAACGCAUUAAACAUUCCGCCUGGGGAGUACGGUCGCAAGAUUAAAACUCAAAGGAAUAGACGGGGACCCGCACAAGUGGUGGAGCAUGUGGUUUAAUUCGAAGAUACGCGAAGAACCUUACCUAGCCUUGACAUAUAUUAGAACUCCGCAGAGAUGCAGAGGUGCCUUCGGGAGCUUUUAUACAGGUGCUGCACGGCUGUCGUCAGCUCGUGUCGUGAGAUGUUGGGUUAAGUCCCGCAACGAGCGCAACCCUCGUCACUAGUUACUAACGGUUCGGCCGAGGACUCUAGUGAGACUGCCUUCGUAAGGAGGAGGAAGGUGAGGACGACGUCAAGUCAUCAUGGCCCUUACGGCUAGGGCAACACACGUGCUACAAUGGUUGGGACAGUGAGACGCGAUACCGCGAGGUGGAGCAAAUCUAUAAACCCAAUCUCAGUUCGGAUUGUAGUCUGCAACUCGACUACAUGAAGCUGGAAUCACUAGUAAUCGUAGAUCAGCUAUGCUACGGUGAAUACGUUCCCGGGUCUUGUACUCACCGCCCGUCACACCAUGGGAGUUGAUUUCACCCGAAGCGGGGAAGCUAAACUGGCUACCCUCCACGGUGGAAUUAGCGACUGGGGUG
rnacentral:rRNA from 1 species